AGUGUUUCAUAGAUUUGAGGGGUUGUUUUGGUUAUCGCAAGCAGGGCCAUAGACUUAGAGAUUGUUUGCAUUCUAGGUAAGGGACCAGAGAUGCCCGAUCUCAGGCACAUACUACUAGUACACCAGCCCUUAUCCCUCAUCCUGCCCCUGUUCAGGGUGCUUCAUCUAGCACAACUGGCGAUCAGCGCCAGAACAGAUUCUAUGCCUUGCAAUCCUGUCAAGAGCAGGAGGACUCUCUCGAUGUUGUUACUAGUAUGCUCCGCGUCUUUUGCUUUGAUGUCU
rnacentral:lncRNA from 1 species